rnacentral:lncRNA from 1 species
GGUAAACAUAAGUUGCACAACACACACACACACAGUGAGUAGUAGGAGAAAUAGUUGUGGGUGGAGCUAACGCUCUCGUCUGCAAUACUCCAUAAAAUAAUUACCAACACCAAUGAAGAAAAUGGGAGCGCUGGUGUUGCCUCUAGUCUUGCCAUAUCUACGAAUAGUUGGCCAGCAAAGGAUGGCCAGAAAGGGACACCAGCAGAGGUGCAGGAAACCAGAAGACAGGCAUUACAAUUGCCGCGCAACGAGAGCGCCAAGGAAGG